UACAGAGGGUGCAAGCGUUGUUCGGAAUUAUUGGGCGUAAAGCGCGUGUAGGCGGCUUUGCAAGUCGGGUGUGAAAGCCCACGGCUUAACCGUGGAAGUGCGCCCGAAACUGCAGAGCUUGAGUGUCGGAGAGGGUGGCGGAAUUCCGCAAGUAGAGGUGAAAUUCGUAGAUAUGCGGAGGAACACCGGUGGCGAAGGCGGCCACCUGGACGACAACUGACGCUGAGACGCGAAAGCGUGGGGAGCAAACAGG
rnacentral:rRNA from 1 species